rnacentral:rRNA from 1 species
CGGAACGGGUGAGUAAUGCGUGACCAACCUCGCCCCAUGCUCCAGAAUAGCUCUUGGAAACGGGUGGUAAUGCUGGAUGCUCCAACUUGACGCAUGUCUUGUUGGGAAAGUGUUUAGUGGCAUGGGAUGGGGUCGCGUCCUAUCAGCUUGUAGGCGGGGUAAUGGCCCACCUAGGCUUCGACGGGUAGCCGGCCUGAGAGGGCGGACGGCCACAUUGGGACUGAGAUACGGCCCAGACUCCUACGGGAGGCAGCAGUG